UACGGGGGGGCAAGCGUUGUUCGGAAUUACUGGGCGUAAAGGGCUCGUAGGCGGCCAACUAAGUCGGAUGUGAAAUCCCCAGGCUUAACCUGGGAACUGCAUCCGAUACUGGAUGGCUUGAAUCCGGGAGAGGGAUGCAGAAUUCCAGGUGUAGCGGUGAAAUGCGUAGAUAUCUGGAGGAAUACCGGUGGCGAAGGCGGCAUCCUGGACCGGCAUUGACGCUGAGUGAGCGAAAGCCAGGGGAGCAAAGCGGG
rnacentral:rRNA from 1 species